rnacentral:tRNA from 1 species
AGAAAGUGGUGUAAUGGGAGCACUAAGA